CUCCUUCUACGAUAGUUUUACAAACUGUUUAUCUUCCAAAUUCAAAAGUUUCUCACUCAUUAAUCUACACACCUUCUCUUUCUCAAACUCUUCAUUUUUCUCUUUCUCUAUCUCUCUUGCUUACGCCUUAUCUUCUUCUUCCUUAAUCAUCUUCUUAUUUCUCUUCAUCACAUUAAAUUUAAUUUUUUGAGAGAUCAAACUCACUACGAUACACGACGACAACAACAACAACACCGCUCUCAUAGCCCAAUACAACACAACGUGUUUCUACCGCUGCUCCGACAUUAAAACCACUGCACUUCCACCUGAAACUACUUCGCCCACUGGUUCGAUUCCACCGUACAUAUUUCGCCACCAACGUCGCUAUUUGCCUCAAGGAUUGUCGAGUUCUUCGAAUCUGAAGACAAAGAUCUAUUUUUUACCGCUCAAAGGUUUUGCAUAGCCGGAGAUAUUGUUAUUAAGAUUCAUCUAGAGCUUAUUGACAAGAAGAUUGUCUUUAUAUAUGGUAUCAAAGAUGAAAAUCCUCUUGAUUGUACUGUGAAAUAAGCGAAGAUUGCCCUAAUUACUCCUAAUGUAAGUG